rnacentral:lncRNA from 1 species
AAAAAUGUUGUUCUCUUUGAAUUUGUUGCUAUUGUAAAUCCCCAUACCUCGUUACCUUCUAUGGUCUUGAGUAAAGGUUCAAGACAUGGAAACAUCCAAAUUGUUGCUCAUGUUUGGACCUGAUCUUUUAAUGGUCCUAACUCCCCAAUAGUAUGGCCAACAUGGCUGGGGGGUGUGAUAGCAACUUUAAUUGCUGAGUAUGACCACCAACUUGUAUUGGCUUCCCUCCAGAAUCCCCUAUAUUGCACUCAUACUUAUUCCUAGCUUCUAAGUUCUGCCCCCCUCCUGUGAUCCAUGCUUUGGGAUCUUGAGUUCCCUUUGAACUUGGAGACUUAAGGGUUGGUUCUUCCACACUGCACUAUGUCUCUACCCUAUAAUGAAUUUGGAUGUAAGCACUGCCCGAAGCUCAUAAAGCUCUUGAGUACUCUGACACACAAAAACAAACGAG